rnacentral:rRNA from 1 species
CAGUCGCCGCGGGAAUACAGAGGGUGCGAGCGUUAAUCGGAUUUACUGGGCGUAAAGCGUGCGUAGGCGGCUUUUUAAGUCGGAUGUGAAAUCCCUGAGCUUAACUUAGGAAUUGCAUUCGAUACUGGGAAGCUAGAGUAUGGGAGAGGAUGGUAGAACUCCAGGUGUAGCGGUGAAAUGCGUAGAGAUCUGGAGGAAUACCGAUGGCGAAGGCAGCCAUCUGGCCUAAUACUGACGCUGAGGUACGAAAGCAUGGGGAGCAAACAGGAUUAGAUACCCGCGUAGUCCCUGUCUCUUAUAC